AUAUGUUUUUAUGUGUUUAUAUGUGUAUUUAUACAUAUAUAUAUACAUACACACAUAUAUAUAUAUAUAUAAUCAUAUACAUAUAUUUACAAUUAGCUGCCAUGGCUGCCUGACUUAGCUGUGCUUUGGUUCUGUGACGUGUAUGACGGCAUCAGAACGAGGCUCCCAUUGGAAGUGUGCUCUCUUGAGCGCAAUGCUUCCCAGCAAUUGCUGUCAACUUGUAAUACCAGUGCACAUUACUGUGCAUAGUAUUACUCACUGUAGCACAAAUAUCGCUUUCACAAAAGCAAUAUUUAGCGCUCCACUUGUAAUCUGGCCCUAAAUAAGCUAUCCUAUUUUUUUUUAUUAACAACUAGGAAGUUGGCCAUAAUCAUAGACAUCUUCUGCUUUUUUUUAUCCAUUAUUGAUGAUAUGUACGAAAAUUUCUACUUUCAACCUUCAGAAAAGUAUAUAAUUUACAAUUUCAUUUACUUAUGGGGUUGAAAUAAAUAAGUUUUCAAGAA